rnacentral:lncRNA from 1 species
UUCCAACGAUCGAGUUAGCUUAAUGGACGAACCGCGCAAGGAAAUAAACAAGAUAAUAGUAAUACUAAAUAUGUUUCAUUUUCUAUUCUAUAUAUAUUCUACUAUCUUAUAAGAGGGACUUUAACUUCUCUCAUCUCACUCUUCUUGUUCUUAUCGGUACCAGGCACACAGGUCUUUCAGAAACCUGGCAGAUGGAGGUUCACUGAUCAAAAUGUUAACACCCGAGUUAUAUCAGAAAAGCUUUACCGUCUGCAAAUUUCCGGUUUCACCUUCUCUGUCCUCACUUUCCUAUUCUUAUCUUUACACUUUGGUGAAUUUUCCCAUCCGGAUCUUUGUUUUCCUGUCAGCUAUCUUCUUCUCAUCUUGUAUUUCUCUGUUUCAUCUUUUACUGCACUCUAAGACUUUGUUCUUUAUGUGUUUGAGAAAAUUCUUGAAUGAAUCAGUUGGGUGGUGACACAUUUUUUAAUUAUUCCGUGUGGUAAAAGUGCACCUAUCUACUGUAUGAGAAGUGGCAAAUCGAGUGAAGCAUAAUUUCUGCUCUUCAGAAAUGGAUGUCAUGGUAAUUUGUAGUUACCCGCGUUGGGGAUUGCCGAUUCAGAUUUUGCUUUAUCCUUUUACUUUAUUUUCCAGCAAAAUUCAAAGAGUUGGAUUUCUAAAAUCUCAAAGUAAAAAAACUAAUCGAGGGUUGCAACGUUUGCCGGUUUAAAGAGGUCCUUUUUUGGGUAUUUUGAUUAGUUUUUGCCGCUGCUUUCUCUGAGGAACAAAGCGUUUGUUAACCCAGGGUUACACUUUACACUGUAUGCUGGUUUCACGAAAUACAUAUUUGUUUUCCUUUUUAUGACCGAUGGCAAAUUUGUUUCGCAUAAACCGUAAUAGUUUGAUUGGGGAAAAGCUUUGAAUUUAGACACUAAGUUUGAGAAACUUCGAUCUUAAAAAAUUCUUGUAAGCCUUUUUGAGGUCGAGGAAAUUUUGUGAUCCUGGCCUUUGAUUCCAUGGUAUCGAAAAGAGAAAAGGAAAGUAUAAUCCGAUAUUGUGCUAUAUAAUAUUUCCUUUUUUCCUUUGCAUAAAGUUAGACCAUAAAUAGGUUUAACUUUAUUUGAUUUUUAAAAUUAUAACUGAAUUACUGUUUUCCGUUAAAGCUCGGGAUUUUACUCAAUUCGUGCUCAAUAUUGAGUUCUGCUUGCUUAAUACUUUUUCUCUGCAGAACCUUCAGCUUCUCACAAUAUAUUGCUCAAUAUCUGUGUUGUAUACUCUUUUUGUUGCAUCAUAUUCAACUGGGAGUACUAUAGUUAUUAGUCAAUAUUUAGUUUGGUUGUAAGUUGUAAAGCAGGAAAUGUAGUCAAGAGAAGAUUCUUGAUUUCCUUUUCCUUAAACAUGUAUACUAAGUUGGCUGCCUGUUUGUAUUUCGCCGAAGCUCAAUUUUUAGGCAUUUGCUUGCCUCCAUUGCAUGCUAAUGUAAAGUCUCUUUGAGAAUGGAUAGAAAUUAGACUGUGUUGUACUUUGUUCUGAUUGAUCUUUAUGAUGUUAGUAGACUCAACUUCACAGGUUUAUAAACUUUUUUGAAAUAGCUAAGUCACAGUUGUCCUGUGUGAAAGGUAAUUCGUAGUACCAUAGUUUGUUUCAUUUGGAACUCUUCUUUUGAUUAUGACAGGAGCGGCCUUGAAUUACUAUCAUGAUGUCAAAAUUGACAAAGCGGUGAUUUUUUCAGGGGUCGGAUGCGUCUUGAUUUUUUGUAUAGGAUCUGCUCACUGAUAACAAAGCAGAAUUUGAUUGUUAUUCAAAUGACUCUGAAGAUAGCAUGAGUUAUGCAUCAAUAUGACCACACGCAUCAUUUAUAUGUCUUUACGAAAUGGUCAAUGACCAUUAAUUAUGGGUUGGUCCUUUUUUCCCCUUCUUAAAAAUAGUAUAUGAAGGCUGGUCUAUAUCUUUUUGUCUGAGGUUCAUGUCAUGACAGUGUUGAGAAUAAUGUAUGCCUCGAAGGAGAGUACUGCCAUUUGAUGACUUAACCACUUUUGAAGUGACCACUCACUUCAAUACCGAUUUUCUAUAUUAUUUCAUUAGUUAUACACCAAAAUGGUGCCAAAAUAUUCAAGUGA